CGAGAGUGCCUUCGGGAACUGUGAGACAGGUGCUGCAUGGCUGUCGUCAGCUCGUGUUGUGAAAUGUUGGGUUAAGUCCCGCAACGAGCGCAACCCUUAUCCUUUGUUGCCAGCGGUUUGGCCGGGAACUCAAAGGAGACUGCCGUUGAUAAAGCGGAGGAAGGUGGGGACGACGUCAAGUCAUCAUGGCCCUUACGACCAGGGCUACACACGUGCUACAAUGGCGUAUACAAAGGGAGGCGACCUCGCGAGAGCAAGCGGACCUCAUAAAGUACGUCUAAGUCCGGAUUGGAGUCUGCAACUCGACUCCAUGAAGUCGGAAUCGCUAGUAAUCGUGAAUCAGAAUGUCACGGUGAAUACGUUCCCGGGCCUUGUACACACCGCCCGUCACACCAUGGGAGUGGGUUGCACCAGAAGUAGAUAGCUUAACCUUCGGGAGGGCGUUUACCACGGUGUGGUCCAUGACUGGGGUGAAGUCGUAACAAGGUAACCGUAGGGGAACCUGCGGUUGGAUCACCUCCUUAC
rnacentral:rRNA from 1 species